rnacentral:rRNA from 1 species
CAACGUGAGCAACCUGCCUUUCAGAGGGGGAUAACAGUUGGAAACGACUGCUAAUACCGCAUAACGCUGCGAUGGGGCAUCCCGAUGCAGCCAAAGGAGCAAUCCGCUGAAAGAUGGGCUCGCGGCCGAUUAGCUAGUUGGUGGGGCAACGGCCCACCAAGGCGACGAUCGGUAGCCGGACUGAGAGGUUGAUCGGCCACAUUGGGACUGAGACACGGCCCAGACUCCUACGGAAGGCAGCAG